CCUACGGGUGGCAGCAGUGGGGAAUAUUGGACAAUGGGGGCAACCCUGAUCCAGCCAUGCCGCGUGUGUGAAGAAGGCCCUCGGGUUGUGAAGCACUUUCAGUGAGGAAGAACGCCUGGUGGUUAAUACCCAUCAGGAAAGACAUCACUCACAGAAGAAGCACCGGCUAACUCCGUGCCAGCAGCCGCGGUAAUACGGAGGGUGCGAGCGUUAAUCGGAAUUACUGGGCGUAAAGCGCGCGUAGGUGGCUUGAUAAGCCGGUUGUGAAAGCCCCGGGCUCAACCUGGGAACGGCAUCCGGAACUGUCAAGCUAGAGUGCAGGAGAGGAAGGUAGAAUUCCCGGUGUAGCGGUGAAAUGCGUAGAGAUCGGGAGGAAUACCAGUGGCGAAGGCGGCCUUCUGGACUGACACUGACACUGAGGUGCGAAAGCGUGGGUAGCAAACAGGAUUAGAUACCCUGGUAGUC
rnacentral:rRNA from 1 species